UGCAGUCGACGGAUCCUUCGGGAUUAGUGGCAGACGGGUGAGUAACGCGUGGGAAGCUACCUUGUGGUAGGGAACAACAGUUGGAAACGACUGCUAAUACCCUAUGAGCCCUAUGGGGGAAAGAUUUAUCGCCAUGAGAUGUGCCCGCGUUAGAUUAGCUAGUUGGUAAGGUAAUGGCUUACCAAGGCGACGAUCUAUAGCUGGUCUGAGAGGAUGAUCAGCCACACUGGGACUGAGACACGGCCCAGACUCCUACGGGAGGCAGCAGUGGGGAAUAUUGGACAAUGGGGGCAACCCUGAUCCAGCCAUGCCGCGUGAGUGAUGACGGCCUUAGGGUUGUAAAGCUCUUUCAGCAGUGAAGAUAAUGACAUUAACUGCAGAAGAAGCCCCGGCUAACUUCGUGCCAGCAGCCGCGGUAAUACGAAGGGGGCUAGCGUUGUUCGGAAUCACUGGGCGUAAAGCGUACGUAGGCGGACUGAUCAGUCAGGGGUGAAAUCCCGGGGCUCAACCCCGGAACUGCCUUUGAUACUGUCAGUCUUGAGAUCGAGAGAGGUGAGUGGAACUCCGAGUGUAGAGGUGAAAUUCGUAGAUAUUCGGAAGAACACCAGUGGCGAAGGCGGCUCACUGGCUCGAUACUGACGCUGAGGUACGAAAGCGUGG
rnacentral:rRNA from 1 species